rnacentral:rRNA from 1 species
UACGGAGGGGGCUAGCGUUGUUCGGAAUUACUGGGCGUAAAGCGCGCGUAGGCGGCUUUGUAAGUUAGAGGUGAAAGCCCGGAGCUCAACUCCGGAAUUGCCUUUAAGACUGCAUCGCUAGAAUCAUGGAGAGGUGAGUGGAAUUCCGAGUGUAGAGGUGAAAUUCGUAGAUAUUCGGAAGAACACCAGUGGCGAAGGCGAUUCACUGGACAUGUAUUGACGCUGAGGUGCGAAAGCUAGGGGAGCAAACGGG